GCCGAAACCUUGCGGUCAAGGAGAAAACAGCCUACUCUCACGCGCGCUUUUUCUUUGUUCCAAGAUUGAUUGAACGACUCGUGUGUUUCUCUUCGUCCUGAAAAUUGCUAUGAAGCUAGAUAACAUGCUAAUGCUGUGUUUUGAACAUAGUUUUACAAGUUUAGUCGACAUAUAAUAUGUAAUUUCAACGUUUUGGUGCGCACCCACUUGACUUUUGGCUGCAUUUCAACCGAAAUGUGUCGUGUUUGAUCACCGAAAGACACAGACUUCCAAACUAAAGCUGUUUUUGGAGACGGCUGUGGCAGUGGAGGAGAAUCCAUGUCGCCUGGUUCCAUGGUUGGAAGCCAUGAUAGAGAUAUGAUGACCUUGCAUCACAAUGUCCAUUCCACAAAGGUAGUAGUAGCUAGCCUGCAGCGGUGGACCAGUGCCAGGAAUGGCCCUCCAAGGACCUGAGCCCUAGGACCAUGCCCCCAGGACUACCUGACAUGAUGACUCCUUGCUGUCCCCAGUCCACCUGGCUGUGCUGCUGCUCCAGUUUCAACUGUUCUGCCUUAUUAUUAUUCAACCAUGCUGGUCAUUUAUGAACAUUUGAACAUCUUGGCCAUGUUCUGUUAUAAUCUCCACCUGGCACAGCCAGAAGAGGACUGGCCACCCCACAUAGCCUGGCUCCUCUCUAGGUUUCUUCCUAGGUUUUGGCCUUUCUAGGGAGUUUUUCCUAGCCACCGUGCUUCUACACUUGCGUUGCUUGGGGUUUUAGGCUGGGUUUCUGUACAGCACUUUGAGAUAUCAGCUGAUGUACGAAGGGCUAUAUAAAUAAAUUUGAUUUGAUUUGAGUUGGCGUGUGAGUUUGACUUUCGGGAAAGGGUAGUUAAAGACAAGUACACUGAAUUUAGACUACCAAAUAAAUGCCAAACACCUAUUUUGACCCAAUCCCCAUACCUUUAAAGUAAGUUACUAAAUAUAGUCCAGUUUGUAACAUUCUCUAUGAAAUG
ensembl:lncRNA